rnacentral:snRNA from 1 species
GUGUUCCUUCGGCAGCACAUAUACUAAAAUUGGAACAAUACAGAGAAGUUUAGCAUGGCCCCUAUGCAAAGAUGACACAUAAAUACAUUCCAUAUUUUA